rnacentral:rRNA from 1 species
UACGUAGGGCGCAAGCGUUGUCCGGAAUUAUUGGGCGUAAAGAGCUCGUAGGCGGUUUGUCGUGUCUGCUGUGAAAUCCCGAGGCUCAACCUCGGGCUUGCAGUGGGUACGGGCAGACUAGAGUGCGGUAGGGGAGACUGGAAUUCCUGGUGUAGCGGUGAAAUGCGCAGAUAUCAGGAGGAACACCAAUAGCGAAGGCAGCUCGCUGGGACGUUACUGACACUGGAGGCGCGGAAAGCGUGGG